rnacentral:rRNA from 1 species
GAUCAAGCUAUGAAGAGCAUAGGGCGAAUGCCUUGGCAUCAGGAGCCGAAGAAGGACGCGAUAAGCUGCGAUAAGCUACGGGGAACCGCAAAUAGGUAUUGAUCCGUAGAUGUCCGAAUGGGGGAACCCAUCUGAGCAAUACUCAGAUACUGUGCGGUGAAUCAAAUAGCCGUAUGGAGGUAGACCCGCUGAACUGAAACAUCUAAGUAGGCGGAGGAAGAGAAAGAAAAAUCGAUUUUCUAAGUAGCGGCGAGCGAAAGGGAAAGAGGCCAAACCAGGGGUAGCAAUACCCUUGGGGUUGCGGACUGCAUAAUUGAUUGAAACGAGUUAGCAGAAAACGUCUGGGAAGGCGAGCCGGAGAGGGUAAAAGCCCCGUAAGCGAAAACGAGUUUCACAAGGCAGGAUCCAGAGUACCGCGGGACACGAGUAACCCCGUGGGAAGCCGGGGGGCCCACCCCCCAAGCCUAAAUACUACCUGAUGACCGAUAGAGAAUAGUACCGUGAGGGAAAGGUGAAAAGAACCCCGGGAGGGGAGUGAAAAGAACCUGAAACCCUAUGUUUACAAGCAGAUAGAGCAAUUUUAUGUGCGAUAUCGUACUUUUUGUAGAACGGUCCGGCGAGUAAUUUUAUGAAGCGAGGUUAAUGCGUUCAGCGCAGGAGCCGCAGGGAAACCGAGUCUUAAUAGGGCGUAUAGUUUUAUGAAAUUUACCCGAAACCGGGUGAUCUAUCCAUGGACAGGUUGAAGCGGGAGUAAAAUCUCGUGGAGGACCGAACCCACGUCUGUUGAAAAAGGCGGGGAUGAGCUGUGGAUAGGGGUGAAAUUCCAAUCGAACCCGGAGAUAGCUGGUUCUCCCCGAAAUAGCUUUAGGGCUAGCCUGAUAUUAGUUUAGCGGGGGUAAAGCACUGAAUGGAUAAGGGGCCUUCACGGGUUACCGAGUCCUAUCAAACUAAGAAUACCGCAUAAAUGAUGUAUUGGAGUCAGACAGUGGGAGAUAAGUUUCAUUGUCAAAAGGGAAACAGCCCAGACCUACAGCUAAGGUCCCAAAAUAGAUUUAAGUGGGAAAGGAUGUUCAAUUGCCCAGACAACCAGGAUGUUGGCUUAGAAGCAGCCACACAUUCAAAGAGUGCGUAAUAGCUCACUGGUCGAGUGAUUGGGCGCCGAAAAUUUAACGGGGCUAAAAUCUAUACCGAAGCUUAGGAUUGUAUGUAAAUACAGUGGUAGGGGAGCGUAGUGUAAGCGGCGAAGCAGUACCGAAAGGAGCUGUGGAGUUUACAGUAGUGAGAAUGCCGGAAUGAGUAGCGAGAAUUAUGUGAGAAUCAUAAUGGCCGAAAAUCUAAGGUUUCUUGAGGAAGGUUCGUCCGCUCAAGGUAAGUCGGGAGCUAAGGCGAGGCCGCGAGGCGUAGUCGAUGCACACACGGUUGAGAUUCCGUGACCGCCGAAAUUGUUAAGCAUGGGGACGCAGGAAGAUAAGCUGACCGCACGGAUGGAAGAGUGCGGCGUAAGGGAGCGAAAAUAAGUAGCGAAGCAGCUGAUUCUACACUGACGAGAAAAGCCAUGUGUAUUAAUUAGGCGCCCGUACCGCAAACCGACACAGGUAGAUGAGGAGAGAAUCCUAAGGCCAACGGGAGAAGUGUUGUUAAGGAACUCGGCAAAAUGACCCCGUAACUUCGGGAUAAGGGGAGCCCACUGAUGGUGGGCCGCAGAGAAUAGUCCCAAGCGACUGUUUAGCAAAAACACAGGUCUAUGCUAAGUCGAAAGACGACGUAUAUGGGCUGACGCCUGCCCGGUGCCGGAAGGUUAAGGGGAACUGUUAGGGGUAACCCGAAGCAGAGAACUUAAGCCCCGGUAAACGGCGGCCGUAACUAUAACGGUCCUAAGGUAGCGAAAUUCCUUGUCAGGUAAGUUCUGACCCGCACGAAUGGCGUAACGAUUUGGGAGCUGUCUCAACAACACACCCGGCGAAAUUGUAGUACCGGUGAAGAUGCCGGUUACCCGCGACAAGACGGAAAGACCCCAUGGAGCUUUACUGCAGCUUGAUACUGGAUUUUUGCUUAUCAUGUACAGGAUAGGUGGGAGACUGCGAACCUAUGGCGCCAGCCGUAGGGGAGUCGCUGUUGGGAUACCACUCUUGAUAAGUGAAGAUUCUAACCGGCCGCCGUUAACCGGUGACGGGACAAUGUCAGGUGGGCAGUUUGACUGGGGCGGUCGCCUCCUAAAGAGUAUCGGAGGCGCUCAAAGGUUAUCUCAGCACGGACGGAAAUCGUGCAAAGAGUGCAAACGCAUAAGAUAGCCUGACUGCGAGACGGACAGGUCGAGCAGGAACGAAAGUUGGAGUUAGUGAUCCGGCGGAAUGAGAGUGGAAUUGCCGUCGCUCAACGGAUAAAAGCUACCCUGGGGAUAACAGGCUUAUCUCCCCCAAGAGUCCACAUCGACGGGGAGGUUUGGCACCUCGAUGUCGGCUCAUCGCAUCCUGGAGCUGGAUUAGGUUCCAAGGGUUGGGCUGUUCGCCCAUUAAAGCGGUACGCGAGCUGGGUUCAGAACGUCGUGAGACAGUUCGGUCCCUAUCUGUCGCGGGCGCAGGAGAUUUGAAGGAAGCUGUCCUUAGUACGAGAGGACCGGGAUGGACGCACCACUGGUGCACCAGUUGUCGUGCCAACGGCAUAGCUGGGUAGCUACGUGCGGACGGGAUAAACGCUGAAGGCAUCUAAGCGUGAAGCCCCUCCUAAGAUAAGAUCUCCCACGGAGAAGUCCGGUAAGACCCCUUGUAGACUACGAGGUUGAUAGGUCAGAGGUGGAAGCAUGGUAACAUGUGCAGCUGACUGAUACUAAUAGGUCGAGGGCUUGAUCAAG